UGAAUACGAGAUGCUACGGCGUCGAAGCAGUCUAUGUCAUACUUCCAAGAAAAGCUCGCACUGUCAUAAACAAAUAAUGCCUGUACCAUAACCGACACAGGUGGGUAGGUAGAGUAUACUAAGGGGCGCGAGAUAACUCUCUCUAAGGAACUCGGCAAAAUGACUCCGUAACUUCGGGAGAAGGAGUGCCUUAUUUAUAAGGUUGCAAUAACAAGAUCCAAGCAACUGUUUAUCAAAAACACAGGUCUCCGCUAAGUCGUAAGACGAUGUAUGGGGGCUGACGCCUGCCCAGUGCCAGAAGGUUAAAGAAGUUGGUUAGCAUUCGCGAAGCUGAUAACUGAAGCCCUGGUGAACGGCGGCCGUAACAAUAACGGUCCUAAGGUAGCGAAAUUCCUUGUCGGGUAAGUUCCGACCCGCACGAAAGGCGUAAUGAUUUGGAUACUGUCUCGGAGAGGGGCUCGGUGAAAUAGACUUGUCUGUGAAGAUGCGGACUACCUGCACCAGGACAGAAAGACCCUAUGAAGCUUUACUGUAACUUGAGAUUGAAAUUGGACUUUACUUGCGCAGUAUAGGUGGGAGGCGUUGAUAAUAUUCUUGCGGGAUUAUUUGAGCCAUCAGUGAGAUACCACUCUUGUAAUGUUAGAUUUCUAACUUUGUACCAUUAUCUGGUCAAAGGACAGUUUCAGGCGGGCAGUUUGACUGGGGCGGUCGCCUCCUAAACGGUAACGGAGGCGCACAAAGGUUUCCUCUGAACGGGUAGAAAUCGUAUCUAGAGUGUAAAGGCAUAAGGAAGCUUGACUGUGAGACCUACAAGUCGAGCAGGGACGAAAGUCGGUCUUAGUGAUCUGACGGUGCUGAGUGGAAAGGCCGUCACUCAACGGAUAAAAGUUACUCUAGGAUAACAGGCUGAUCUCCCCCAAGAGUUCACAUCGACGGGGAGGUUUGGCACCUCGAUGUCGGCUCAUCGCAUCCUGGGGCGGUAGUACGUCCCAAGGGUUGGGCUGUUCGCCCAUGAAAGCGGUACGCGAGCUGGGUUCAGAACGUCGUGAGACAGUUCGGUCCAUAUCCGGUGUAGGCGUUAGAAUAUUGAGAGGAGCCUUCUUUAGUACGAGAGGACCGAGAAGGACAUACCUCUGGUGUACCAGUUAUCGUGCCAACGGUAAACGCUGGGUAGCUAUGUAUGGAGUGGAUAACCGCUGAAAGCAUCUAAGUGGGAAGCCCACCUCAAGAUAAGUAUUCUC
rnacentral:rRNA from 1 species